UACGUAGGUGGCAAGCGUUGUCCGGAUUUAUUGGGCGUAAAGGGCGCGCAGGCGGUCCGUUAAGUCCGAGGUGAAAUCUCCCGGCUCAACUGGGAGGGGUCUUCGGAUACUGGCGGACUUGAGGAAUGCAGAGGUGAGUGGAAUUCUCGGUGUAGUGGUGAAAUGCGUAGAUAUCGAGAGGAACACCAGUGGCGAAGGCGGCUCACUGGGCACCACCUGACGCUGAGGCGCGAAAGCGUGGGGAGCGAACCGG
rnacentral:rRNA from 1 species